UUCCUUGCCCUGCAGAAAUGUCUACGAAGG
rnacentral:piRNA from 1 species